rnacentral:rRNA from 1 species
GAUGAACGCUAGCGAUAGGCCUAACACAUGCAAGUCGAGGGGCAUCACAUGAAGUAGCAAUACGGAUGGUGGCGACCGGCGCACGGGUGAGUAACACGUAUGCAACCUGCCUUCAACAAGGGGAUAACCCGUUGAAAGACGGACUAAUACCCUAUAACACAGGGGUCCCGCAUGGGAAUAUUUGUUAAAGGACAACCGGUUGAAGAUGGGCAUGCGUUCCAUUAGCUAGUUGGCGGGGUAACGGCCCACCAAGGCAACGAUGGAUAGGGGAACUGAGAGGUUUAUCCCCCACACUGGUACUGAGACACGGACCAGACUCCUACGGGAGGCAGCAGUGAGGAAUAUUGGUCAAUGGACGCAAGUCUGAACCAGCCACGUCGCGUGAAGGAAGACGGCCCUACGGGUUGUAAACUUCUUUUAACGGGAAUAAAGUGCCCCACGCGUGGGGUUUUGCAUGUACCGUAUGAAUAAGGAUCGGCUAACUCCGUGCCAGCAGCC